GGGAUAUUGGACAAUGGGCGAAAGCCUGAUCCAGCAAUGCCGCGUGAGUGAUGAAGGCCUUAGGGUUGUAAAGCUCUUUUACCAGGGAUGCUAAUGACCGUACCUGGAGAAUAAGCUCCGGCUAACUCCGUUCCAGCAGCCGCGGUAAUACGGAGGGAGCUAGCGUUGUUCGGAAUGAGUGGGCGUAAAGCGCGCGUAGGCGGCGAUCCAAGUCAGGGGUGAAAUCCCGGGGCUCAACCCCGGAACUGCCUCUGAAACUAGAUUGCUAGAAUCCUGGAGAGGCGAGUGGAAUUCCGAGUGUAGAGGUGAAAUUCGUAGAUAUUCGGAAGAACACCAGUGGCGAAGGCGACUCGCUGGACAGGUAUUGACGCUGAGGUGCGAAAGCGUGGGGAGCAAAC
rnacentral:rRNA from 1 species